GGGCGGAGCGGCCGUCGG
rnacentral:snRNA from 1 species